UUAAAGUAUUACCACUAUAUCUCUUCACCCUUCCGUUUCCUCCAUUUCUUGGGAGCUUCCUUAUCCAUUUCCUCUUCUUUUGCGCGUACUCCCACCGCCUACUCUCGCAGCUGCCCCCUCAGGCUGACUUCCCUCACAUUUCCAUUUCCCAGAUAAAACAUUAGCCAAAAGCAAAAUGGAAGUUACAGGAGGCUAACUUUAUGCGCUUCUAUGGCCUUGGCAGGUAUCUGGGCAAUGUGUGGGAAGAGUAACAGUUCAGGAGGCAGCAGCUUAGAUAGUACAAUCAAGAAAAAGGACAUUAGUACCCAAAGAGGUGGAAUGGAAUUUGAGUCCGAUUGGACAAAGCAUUGUUGGAAAUCAUCAGCCUUCACUGCUCAAGCCAUCCGUUCAGCAACAUCUUUUAUGCCUUGGUCUUGUAAAAUAUCAAGAAAUGAAGGAUUUCACGAAUAUCUUUAAUCGGUAGCUGAUUUUUCUGUUAAGUUGAUCUUUGUAGUUGAGAGACAUAGAAGGAAUUCAUGAUGCUUCUGUCCACUUCCUGUUUGAGAAUUUCUUAUUCCAAAAAUGCCUAAUUUUGUUAGUGGAAAGAAGAGAGCUACCGAGUUGAACAUGUGUUUCUCCAACGCUCUCGAGCAGGGUGCUCCACCUCACUCAAAAGGGGGUUCCUGCUUAACUCUAAAGUUCGUUGAUGGUAUCCAUAGUCCUAUCUUGCCUGGAUUGCCCGAUGAUGUGGCAAUGUACUGUCUUGCACUUGUUCCUCGAACUAAUUUUCCUGCUAUGGGUGUUGUUUGCAAAAGAUGGAGGUCUUUUAUCCAAAGUAAGGAAUUUAUCCGGGUUAGAAAACUAGUUGGCAUGCUCGAGGAGUGGCUUUAUGUCCUAACUGUUGACUCUCAAGGAAAUGGGAGCCACUGGAGGUUAUAGACUGUUUGGGACAGAAACACAAUGAAUUCCCCCAAUGCCUGGUUGUGAGAAAGUUGGUUUUGGCGUGGUAGUUCUCAAUGGAAAGCUUCUCGUAAUUGCUGGUUAUGCCAUGAUUGAUGGAAAUAGAUCGCCCUCUGCUGAUGUUUAUCAGUAUGAUUCUUGCCUCAACAGCUGGAGUAAGCUAGCGGACAUGAAUGUUGCACGCUAUGAUUUUGCUUGUGCUGAGGUAAAUGGCAUGGUCUAUGCGGUUGGCGGCUAUGGGAUGGAUGGUGAAUCUCUCUCAUGUGCUGAAGUGUAUGACCCUGAUGCUGACAAGUGGACUGUAAUUGAGAGUCUUCGCCGACCACGGUGGGGAUGCUUUGCUUGCGGAUUUGAAGGAAAGCUCUAUGUAAUGGGAGGUCGAUCGAGUUUCACAAUUGGAAAUUCAAGGUUUGUCGAUGUGUAUAACACUGAGAGGCACACCUGGUGUGAGAUGAAAAAUGGUUGUGUCAUGGUCACCGCUCAUGCUGUGGUGGGGAAGAAACUUUUUUGUAUGAGUGGAAAAACCAGCGGAAGCUGGCUAUAUUUGACUCAGAGGAUAAUUCAUGGAAGAUGGUGCCAGUUCCAGUAACUGGGAGCUCAAGCAUCCGAUUCCAGUUUGGCAUACUGGAUGGAAAACUUCUUUUAUUUUCACUGCAGGAGGAUCCCGGUUACACUACCCUUCUGUAUGAUCCAAACGCACCCCCUGGCUCAGAGUGGCAGACCUCAGUGAUAAAGCCAUCCGGUUCGUGCAUGUGCAGCGUCACAAUCAAGGCAUAAAGUGGUCGAUUUCAUUAAAGAUGAUGAUGAUUUCAGUGGCGUUCUUAAAGAGUCUUCCCCCCGGUUUCCGUGCGGGGUUCCGUUGUUCGUUUAAGAAGCAGUUAUGCAUAUGAUCUAUUGUAUAGUUUUAGUAAGUUGGUUGAUUUAAGACUAGUGUGAUUAUGUCAUCUUGUAUGAGUAAUUUGCUUGCGAAGCUUUACUGACAUAAAUCUUGAGCAGCAGUUGUUGUAUCUCAAAUGUUAGUGGCGUCUGUGAUGGACUGGGAUGCAGUAAUAUUCCAGCAAGUAUAUGUGGGCAAAAUUCCAAUGGACGAUCAUGUCCGUGGGCUGUGGAGUUUGUUGCCAGUACUGCGGUAGAUGAAUUAAACACGUGAAAUGUGGCACGACAACGUGAAAGAACUUUGCAUGUUU